rnacentral:rRNA from 1 species
AUUGAACGCUGGCGGCAGGCCUAACACAUGCAAGUCGAGCGGAGCGGCGGACGGGUGAGUAAGGCCUAGGAAGCUGCCUGGUAGUGGGGGAUAACGUCAGGAAACGGGAGCUAAUACCACAUACUAUCAGAUGAGCCUAGGUCGGAUUGGCUAUUUGGUGGGGUAAAGGCCUACCAAGGCGACGAUCGGUAACUGGGCUGAGAGGAUGAGCAGUCACACUGGAACUGAGACACGGUCGAGACUCCUACGAGAGGCAGCAGUGGGGAAUAUUGGACAAUGUGCGAAAGCCGGAUCCAGCCAUGCCGCGUGUGUGAAGAAGGUCGUCGGAGUGUAAAGCACUUUAAGUUGGGAGGCGUUACCAACAGAAGAAGCACCGGCUAACUUCGUGCCAGCAGCCGCGGUAAUAC